AUUGUGAUGAAAUAGCAGGCAGUCUUUCUCAUGUUUAUUUUCUUCUUAACUUUCUCAAAAUAAUGUCACAUUAUUUUGUGACAUUAAUUUGUCACAUAAUUCAGAAGCCUUACUCUUUGCUGCUUCUUGUCCUCUGUCAAGCCAUCAUUCAGGAGGGUGCCCUAAUUAAUUUUCUCUUGAUAUGUUUUAGCUUUUGUUAAACCUCAUAUCAUCUUGUUCUAAUUCCUUUACAUAGUAUUGUGAUUUUAUCACAGUUUUCUUGUUUAUAUCAUUGCUAUAUACCAGAAGCAAACUUUAUCUGGACCCCCGAUAUUUCAUCAGGGCAUCUGGUUUUCUAGCAGCUUCCUUAUGAGUAUCAGUAGGUUAGAUUCCCUCUCUGGUUUGUUUUGUGGCUAUGGGCAAGUGAAACUCCAUGAACCUUAACUUCUCCAUUUGCAAAAUAGGAUAAUAAUACUUACCUCCCACACAUGCUGGGUGUUGUGAGAAUUAAAAAGAUAAUGUUUGCAAAGUGCUUUGUAAAAACAUGGAGCCUUUCAUCUAAGGAUGGAGCUCAGAUGUUAUUAUUUCUGUUGUUACUGUCAGUCAUGUUCCCACAUGGCUUUAUGUUGAUCGUGUUUUUAACUGCAGUAGAGGUGAAUCACAGAGAUGAGAGAUGGUGAAGACACAGCAGGUCAUCUAGUUCAAACGUAUUAGAGAAUUCUUCCCCGACAACACUCUCUUGGUACUUUAGUCUUGCUAUUUUUAAGUCCCAAAGCACCAAACAUUACAGGGUCCAUUUCUUCCUGCUUGACAGCAGAACUCUUCUAAAGAACAGUUUCAAUGGCAACUUUUGACCUAAGUAUUUUCUUAAUGACCCAAUUGGAACAACUUUUUGAGUCUCUUCCAGGAGAAUACUUUUGCUUGGUAUAAGGGUUAUAGUUAUUUUUAGGACCCUUUACUACUUUCCUGGGGAAACGGAGUUACAGUCCAUUAGCUUCCUUCUGAUGAUAUUCUGUACAAUGUUCACCCCAAACGUUCAAUUUAGGAAUUUCCUAACCAUUGGUCCACAGAGCAAACCAAACCAAAUCUUAUUCAGAGAUAGCUCAUUUCAAACGCAAUUAACCUGCUUUAAAUUCAAUCUCAGAAGACUGAAAGAAUGUGCUAACUUCCACCUUGUGACCUGGAAUUGCACUUGGCUAAUGUCCUCAAGCAUGUAAUGUUAUUUUCAAAGAAGUUCUGAAAAUGUUUGUGAAAAUAAUAAGGCCAAAGUUAAAGUAGUCAUGUCUGGAUGUGAGAAUUGGACCAUAAAGAAGGCUGAGUGCUGAAGAAUUGAUGCUGUUGAAC
ensembl:lncRNA